rnacentral:ncRNA from 1 species
UAAAGGUUUGGUCCUGGCCUUCCUAUUAGUUCUUGACAAAUUUACACAUGCAAGUCUCCACAUCCCAGUGAAAUAUGCCCUCCAAAUCACUCCAAUGAUUAAAAGGAGCGGGUAUCAAGCACACUAAUACUAGUAGCUCACGACACCUUGCUCAGCCACACCCCCACGGGAUACAGCAGUGAUAAAAAUUAAGCCAUGAACGAAAGUUCGACUAAGUUAUGUCAAUGAGGGUUGGUAAAUUUCGUGCCAGCCACCGCGGUCACACGAUUAACCCAAACUAAUAGGCCCACGGCGUAAAACGUGUCAAAAACCUCCACCACUAAAGUUAAAACCUGGCCAGGCCGUAAAAAGCAAUUGCCAGCAUAAAAUAAACUACGAAAGUGACUUUAUUACCCUAAUUACACGAUAGCUAAGGUCCAAACUGGGAUUAGAUACCCCACUAUGCCUAGCCCUAAACAUAAAUAAUUAACGUAACAAAAUUAUUUGCCAGAGAACUACUAGCAACAGCUUAAAACUCAAAGGACUUGGCGGUGCUUUACAUCCCUCUAGAGGAGCCUGUUCUAUAAUCGAUAAACCCCGAUAAACCUCACCAUCUCUAGCUAAAUCAGUCUAUAUACCGCCAUCUUCAGCAGACCCUUAAAAGGAAGAGCAGUAAGCACAACAAUAAUACAUAAAAAAGUUAGGUCAAGGUGUAACCUAUGAGGUGGGAAGAAAUGGGCUACAUUUUCUAAUAAAUAAGAAUACAUGCCACGGAAAUUUUUAUGAAACUAAAAAUCAAAGGCGGAUUUAGUAGUAAAUUAAGAAUAGAGAGCUUAGUUGAAUUAGGCCAUAAAGCACGCACACACCGCCCGUCACCCUCCUCAAGCAGUAAUAAUUCAACCACAAUAUAUUAACGGAUAAAUUAAUGUAAGAGGAGACAAGUCGUAACAAGGUAAGCAUACUGGAAGGUGUGCUUGGAUUAAUU